UGCGCUGGCUGGGGAGGAAGCGGUUCUAGGGGAGCGUGCGGGCGCCGGGGUCCGGCGGCGAGAGGCCACCUUCUGGCCUUGCGAUGAAUCCUCGGUUUCCCCUUCUCAGAUGGGGUUUUCGUGAGGGUACAACGUCGGCAUUAGACAUUCCAGGUGACGCCCGUACGCGGUGGGCGGUUCGGGCCGGAGCUCUGGAACGCUGGCCCUGGAGGCGUCGACCCCUCGUUACUGAUGCAGGGACGCGGUGCGGACCAGUCAGGCCCAGAGCUCGUCCUUAGAUGUGGGUUCGAAUCUCUGCCCCGCCAACUUGUGAUCGUAUCGACUCGGCCCAGACGCAAUUUUCUUCUCUGCAAAAUCGUCAUAAGAAUAAUCACUUGUCAGGGUAGCUGCGGGCAUCCCAUUCGUUCCUUUCAUCAGCGCCGGGCAUAUGGGGCGUCAGAGGCUGAGAACGUUGCCGUGAAGAGGCUUAAAAGCAAGACCCGGAGUGGCGACCUUAAAGAGGACGGACUGAAGAAACGCGGGAAUGAGCUCCAGACGCGGGAGUUUCCUCUCUACAAAGUUACACUGCAGCAGCUGUCUACCCUGCCCCUUGUCUUUUGAGAAGUUCAAACCUUCAGAAAAGUUGCAAGAACACGAAAAUUUUGCCAAAGACCUUGAAAUGUUUGCAAGACAUGCGAAAAGAACCACAAUUAACACUGAAGAUGUGAAGCUCUUAGCCAGGAGGAGUAAUUCACUGCUAAAAUACAUCACAGACAAAAGUGAAGAGAUUGCUCAGAUUAACCUAGAACGAAAAGCACAGAAGAAAAAGAAGUCAGAGGAUGGAAGCAAAAAUUCAAGGCAGCCAGCAGAGGCUGGAGUGGUGGAAAGUGAGAAUUAAAGUCCCUCGCCGCUUGGAAAGUGCAGCCUUCUACAGGUAGAGCCACCUAGAAAUGCAUAUGGCUGCAAAGGAAACUUUGAAGGGUUAAAUAGAGAUUU
rnacentral:lncRNA from 1 species